rnacentral:tRNA from 1 species
GGAGAGAUGGCCGAGUGGUCGAAGGCGCCUGACUCGAAAUCAGGUUUGCGGGUAACCGCAACGGGGGUUCGAAUCCCUCUCUCUCCGCCA